rnacentral:rRNA from 1 species
AGCAGCCGCGGUAAUUCCAGCUCCAAUAGCGUAUAUUAAAGUUGUUGCAGUUAAAAAGCUCGUAGUUGAACUUCAGACCUGGCCGGGUGGUCUGCCUUACGGUGUGUACUGUCUGGCCGGGCCUUACCUCUUGGUGAACCGGCGUGCCCUUUAUUGGUGUGCGUCGGGGAACUAGGACGAUUACCUUGAGAAAAUUAGAGUGUUCAAAGCAGGCUCAUGCCCGAAUACAUUAGCAUGGAAUAACAAAGUAGGACGUGCGGUUCUAUUUUGUUGGUUUCUAGAGUCGCCGUAAUGAUUAAUAGGGAUAGUUGGGGGCAUUGGUAUUGAGUCGCUAGAGGUGAAAUUCUUGGAUUGACUCAAGACCGACUAUUGCGAAAGCAUUUGCCAAGGAUGUUUUCAUUAAUCAAGAACGAAGGUUAGGGGAUCGAAAACGAUCAGAUACCGUUGUAGUCUUAACAGUAAACUAUGCCGACUAGGGAUCGGAUGAUGUUAAUUUUAUAAUGACUCA